rnacentral:pre_miRNA from 1 species
UGAGUUGGGUAUCCACUCUUGCAAUGAACAAAUGUGAGAAUGGUAACCAAUACA